rnacentral:rRNA from 1 species
GUGACAUCGAAUCUUUGAACGCACCUUGCGCCCCUUGGCUAUUCCGAGGGGCAUGCCUGUUUGAGUAUCAUGAACACCUCAACUCUCAUGGUUUGCCAUGAUGAGCUUGGACUUUGGGGGUUUUGCUGGCCUGUGGUCAGCUCCUCUCAAAUGGAUCAGCUUACCAGUGUUUGGUGGCGUCACAGGUGUGAUAACUAUCUACGCUUGUGGUUGUCUGCUGAGUAACCUUUGGUGACAGAGGUUCGCUGGAGCUUAUAAAUGUCUCUCCUCAGUGAAGACAGCUUUUUGACCGUUCGAUCUCAAAUCAGGUAGGACUACCCGCUGAACUUAAGCAUAUCAAUAAGCGGAGG